UACGGAGGGUGCAAGCGUUGCUCGGAAUUACUGGGCGUAAAGCGGGCGCAGGCGGUCUGUGCAAGUCGGGUGUGAAAGCCCGGGGCUCAACCCCCGGAACUGCAUCCGAAACUGCCAGACUUGAGUCAAGGAGAGGGUGGCGGAAUUCCUGGUGUAGAGGUGAAAUUCGUAGAUAUCAGGAGGAACAUCCGUGGCGAAGGCGGCCACCUGGCCUUGUACUGACGCUCAUGCCCGAAAGCGUGGGGAGCAA
rnacentral:rRNA from 1 species